AGUAACGCGUGGAUAACCUGCCUCACACUGGGGGAUAACAGUUAGAAAUGACUGCUAAUACCGCAUAAGCGCACAGUGCCGCAUGGUACAGUGUGAAAAACUCCGGUGGUGUGAGAUGGAUCCGCGUCUGAUUAGCCAGUUGGCGGGGUAACGGCCCACCAAAGCGACGAUCAGUAGCCGACCUGAGAGGGUGACCGGCCACAUUGGGACUGAGACACGGCCCAA
rnacentral:rRNA from 1 species